rnacentral:rRNA from 1 species
AUUGAACGCUGGCGGCGGGCCUAACACAUGCAAGUCGAACGAGUGGCGGACGGGUGAGUAAUGUCUGGGAAUCUGCAUGAUGGAGGGGGAUAACUACUGGAAACGGUAGCUAGUACCGCAUACCAGCGGAUGUGCCCAGAUGGGAAUAGCUUGUAGGGGGGGUAAAGGCUCACCUAGGUGACGAUCCAUAGCUGGUAUGAGAGGAUGACCAGCCACACUGGAACGUGGACACGGUCCAGACUCCGACGGGAGGCAGCAGUGGGGAAUAUUGCAAAAUGGGCGCAAGCCUAAUGCAGCCAUGCCGAGUGUAUGAAGAAGGCCUUCGGGUUGUAAAGUACUUUCAGCGGGGAGGCGUUACCCGCAGAAGAAGCACCGGCUAAAUCCGUGCCAGCAGCCGCGGUAAUAC